rnacentral:rRNA from 1 species
UACGUAGGUGACCAGCGUUGUCCGGAUUUACUGGGCGUAAAGAGCGCGCAGGCGGUCGUUCAAGUCGAGUGUGAAAGCCCCCGGCUCAACUGGGGAGGGUCAUUCGAUACUGAUCGACUCGAAGGCAGGAGAGGGUAGUGGAAUUCCCGGUGUAGUGGUGAAAUGCGUAGAUAUCGGGAGGAACACCAGUGGCGAAGGCGACUUCCUGGCCUGUUCUUGACGCUGAGGCGCGAAAGCUAGGGGAGCAAACGGGG